GAGGGUGUAGCUCAAGUGGCAGAGCGCAUGCUUAGCAUGCACAAGGUCCUGGGUUCAAUCCCCAGUAUCUCCU
rnacentral:tRNA from 1 species